rnacentral:rRNA from 1 species
CGGAGUGGCGGACGGGGUGAGUAAUGUCUGGGAAACUGCCUGAUGGAGGGGGAGUAACUACUGGAAACGGUAGCUAAUACCGCAUAACGUCGCAAGACCAAAGAGGGGGACCUUCGGGCCUCUUGCCAUCAGAUGUGCCCAGAUGGGAUUAGCUAGUAGGUGGGGUAACGGCUCACCUAGGCGACGAUCCCUAGCUGGUCCGAGAGGAUGACCAGCCACACUGGAACUGAGACACGGUCCAGACUCCUACGGGAGGCAGCAUG